AUUCAUAUAGUUUAAUAAAAACUUUACUUUUUCAUAGUAAAAAUAGAAUAUAUUCUUAUGAAUU
rnacentral:tRNA from 1 species